CAAGCCCAGAAGCAAUGCUUUGUAUCCUUCAAUCCAAUCAAGGAUGAUCCUGCUUCAGGGAGCAGUGAUUUUUCAUUCCUAGAGGUGUUCAAGAGAGUCUGGGCCUCUCGUUGGAAAUACUGACAAAAUGUUGAAGGUAUACACUAAAAAGUCUCUAAGGGCCCUUCCAACUAUGGGAUUCCAUGCAAUGAAAAUCUCGUCUGAGGGAAACUGGGUUUUAAUUUCAAUUAUUUUGAACCAGAAAGAAAUCUUCUGUAUGAGAGAGAAACAUCGUUAAAAUCAAUUGAAUGCCAAAUGUUGAAUUUUGGACAAUCAGUUUAUAUGGCAUGGUAUUUGUUCUCUAAAUAUUUAUGUUAGACGGGAUCAGGACCAUAAAUAACACUUAAUCAUGCUGAGAUUACUUUAAUAGUAAUCUUUUCUUAUUAACUGAUUUUUAGACUUUUAUCCAAAGCCUAGAAUGGCCUUUUGUUGUUGUUGUUGUUGUUAUGAGUUGAAUUUUGUCCUUCAAAAAAAGAUAUGUUGAAGUUGUAACCCCAAGUACCUCAGAACAUCACUGGAUUUGAAAUAGAGUGGCUGCAGCUAUCAUUAGUUAAGAUGAAGUCAUACUGGAGCAGGGUGAGCCCCCUAAUUCAAUAUGACGGUUGUAAGGUGGAGGAAGAGAUUGGAGCAAUGCAUCUACAAGUCAAGGAGCACCAAGAAUAGACAGCUCUUCCCGGAAGUUAGAAGAGAGGCAUGGGGCAGAUUCUCCCUCCCAGCCCUUGGAAGGGCCCAACCUGGCCAACAACUUCAUUUCUCACUUCUAGAUUCCAGUACUCUGAGGGAAUAAAUUUUUGUUGUUUUAAGCCA